rnacentral:lncRNA from 1 species
CUAGGACACAAUUCUUAAGAGUUCACGGCAUUACUUGUUAACACUAGUGUAAUUUAUUAAUUUCGCUAUAAAUUACUAACUUGAGCGUCGGAGACGUUCAAAUCUAUUUUGCAGGUACCACCCCAAAGAUAGGGGGAAUUAUGAAGUUUUAGCACAAAAUAAUCGAUUAUUUUCUGUGCAGUACAUCGAUUAUCAGUAUCAAUAAUCGAUUGUUUAUGACUGAUUAUUACUAUUAUGCAUCUGUGUUUAAUUUUUU